rnacentral:rRNA from 1 species
AGCGAACGCUGGCGGCAGGCUUAACACAUGCAAGUCGAACGGGCACUUCGGUGUCAGUGGCAGACGGGUGAGUAACACGUGGGAACGUACCUUUUGGUUCGGAACAACACAGGGAAACUUGUGCUAAUACCGGAUAAGCCCUUACGGGGAAAGAUUUAUCGCCGAAAGAUCGGCCCGCGUCUGAUUAGCUAGUUGGUGAGGUAACGGCUCACCAAGGCGACGAUCAGUAGCUGGUCUGAGAGGAUGAUCAGCCACAUUGGGACUGAGACACGGCCCAAACUCCUACGGGAGGCAGCAGUGGGGAAUAUUGGACAAUGGGGGCAACCCUGAUCCAGCCAUGCCGCGUGAGUGAUGAAGGCCCUAGGGUUGUAAAGCUCUUUUGUGCGGGAAGAUAAUGACGGUACCGCAAGAAUAAGCCCCGGC